rnacentral:rRNA from 1 species
AGUGAACGCUGGCGGCGUGCUUAACACAUGCAAGUCGAACGAUGAAGUCCUUCGGGAUGGAUUAGUGGCGCACGGGUGAGUAAUAUAUAGAUAACGUGCCUCUUAGUCUGGGAUAGCCAUUGGAAACGAUGAUUAAUACCGGAUACUCCUUCUAACUCUAAUGUUAGUCGGGAAAGUUUUUCGCUAAGAGAUCGGUCUAUAUUCCAUCAGUUAGUUGGUGAGGUAAUGGCUCACCAAGGCAAUGACGGAUAGCGGGUUUGAGAGGAUGAUCCGCCACACUGGUACUGAGACACGGACCAGACUCCUACGGGAGGCAG